rnacentral:rRNA from 1 species
CGCGUAGGCGGCUUUUCAAGUCGGGGGUGAAAGCCUGUGGCUCAACCACAGAAUUGCCUUCGAUACUGUUAGGCUUGAGACCGGAAGAGGUGAGUGGAACUGCGAGUGUAGAGGUGAAAUUCGUAGAUAUUCGCAAGAACACCAGUGGCGAAGGCGGCUCACUGGUCCGGUUCUGACGCUGAGGCGCGAAAGCGUGGGAGCAAACA